GCACAUUUCACAGAUGGCACAGAGUGGGGAAGUCAGUGACCCAAGGUGGCAAGAGAUGGGGUCUCACUGUGUAACCUAGGAUGGGGUGCAGUGGUGGGAUCAUAUCUCACUGUAGCCUCAAACUCUUGAGCUCAAGAGAUCCUUCUGCCAUGGCCUCCCAAGGUGUUGAGAUUACAGCCAGCUCUUGCUGAUGGUGAGGAGCCUCAUUAUCUUAAGACAACACACAGUGGAGAUGUGCUUUACGUAAUUGGCCUGCCCUGUGAAAACCCCUGGCUGUUUUUUCAGAUAAGGAGACUGAAGCAUCUAGAGUUGGAGUAAUUUCCACAAGAUCACAGGUUAGUAUGAAAGAGGCAAGAUUUCACUCUGUCACCCAGACUGGAGUGCAGUGGCACAAACAUAGCUCACUGAAGCCUCAAACUCCUGGGCUCAAGAGAUCCUUCUGCUUCAGCCUCCUGAGUAGCUGGGACUUCAGAUUUCCUUUCCUUGGUGGCUGUGGGAAUCUCUGCCUUUGCACAGUAGCCUCCAGAAGCUUAGAGAAGGUGUGGGUGGACAAAGCAAAGCAGAGCCCUGACCUCACACCAGCUGGCUGAGCUGUCUUGGCUUGCAUUUGCUGUUCCAGCAUUUGUGGAGUUUGAAAUCUGCAUGCUUGGAGUGCGGAGAGCUGGAUCUUGCACCACAGUCUCCCUGUGGGCUCUUGAAUGAGAAAACCAGGGGAAGCAGAGGUAAGAACCUGUUCAAGAAGGCACAUCUCAGAUGUGGAAGAACCAUGAUUCAACUCGAGUCUGUCUGCUUCCCAAGACUGUGGUAUUUAAACAGCUUAUAAUGAAAAUUCCUUCUAUAGCUCCCCAUAAAAGGGCACACAGUUCUUUCUUAACGUAUUAUUUCAGGCAUUCAUUCACCAUUGAUGUAUUUGUGAAGGUGUUCUCUCUAAAUAAACUAUUGGGACCUUAC
ensembl:lncRNA LINC00970 long intergenic non-protein coding RNA 970